rnacentral:rRNA from 1 species
CUAGCCUGCACGCGAANCAUCCCAUGAUGAUUAGAUCAUGGCUCAGUGAUGAACGUUCCGCGGCGUUAAAACACAUGCAAGUCGAAUCGGUCACGAAAAGUGACAGUGGCGCACGGGUGAGUGAACACGUAGCUAACCUGCCUAUUCAGUCUGGGAUAACGUCUCGAAAGGGAUGCUAAGACCGGAUAAGCUCACGCGUGGUAGGGACGAGUGAGAAAAGGGGUAAGACGCUGAAAGAGAGGGGCUGCGGCGCAUCAGCGUAGUNGGCUGGGGUAAAGGGCUCACCAAGCCGACGACGCCGUAGGGGGUGUCCUGAGAGGGAAUGGCCCCCACCAACUUGGUGACCUUGAAGACCACCGGGCCCAGAAAC